GAUGAACGCUGGCGGCGUGCCUAAUACAUGCAAGUCGAGCGAACAGACGAGGAGCUUGCUCCUCUGACGUUAGCGGCGGACGGGUGAGUAACACGUGGAUAACCUACCUAUAAGACUGGGAUAACUUCGGGAAACCGGAGCUAAUACCGGAUAAUAUAUUGAACCGCAUGGUUCAAUAGUGAAAGACGGUUUUGCUGUCACUUAUAGAUGGAUCCGCGCCGCAUUAGCUAGUUGGUAAGGUAACGGCUUACCAAGGCAACGAUGCGUAGCCGACCUGAGAGGGUGAUCGGCCACACUGGAACUGAGACACGGUCCAGACUCCUACGGGAGGCAGCAGUAGGGAAUCUGCCGCAAUGGGCGAAAGCUUGACGGAGCAACGCCGCGUGAAUGAUGAAGGUCUUCGGAUCGUAAAACUCUGUUAUUAGGGAAGAACAAAUGUGUAAGUAACUAUGCACGUCUUGACGGUACCUAAUCAGAAAGCCACGGCUAACUACGUG
rnacentral:rRNA from 1 species